UCAGCGCAUGCGCUCUACUCUCCGCUUGCGUAUUUAUCCCAGGCAUUCCCACCGGGAGAAUAAUGGAGUCGGAAGUUCGAGCUGGGAACGGAAGUCUCUGGCAGGAAAGGGGAAAGUGACUAUAUCUGGACUAUAGAGUAUGGAGAUUCAAGGAAAUAAGUGGAGUGAACUUUUUCUGAUGAAAAAUUGGAGGUAAUGUAUGUAAGAGUUCCUGAGAGUCGUGGUAGAACAUCUUAUAUCUCAAGGCACAAGGAGAGAAAUGCAAGCUCCUCCUAGAAGGACUUUUGUUCCCCUAGGUUCAGAAUUUUGAAAAGAUGUUUUAUCAAACCAAUUUCUUUAACUAUGCAAAAACCAGUUUUGGAAUGUGAAACAACCCCAUCUUGGCCAUUUCAGGGUGGGGUUUCCUUGAGUUCCCAAUUAAAUAAAUACUUAUGAAAGUA